UAUUCCCUGCGGUGUGCGUUAGAGAAGGCAAUUUAAAGAACCAAUGCCUUUAAUAGGGGGCUUCAACUUCCGGGAUAUCCGUGGAUAUCUUCGGUAAUGGCCCCACUUGAUGACUCGGUUCAUCAAAUUCUUUCUCGACGGCACAGGUGGGGAUUUA
rnacentral:other from 1 species